rnacentral:snoRNA from 1 species
AACCCAUGCUGAGGGCACCUUCUCAAUAAAUCCUUGUAUCUCUCCCAUGCAACAUAUAAGGUUUCUAAGUCGAUCUGAAUAAAGGAAGAGAUAUCAUUCCUCAACUU